CAGUUCUAUCUAGCUCAACUCUCGUGGUUCCAUACGAGUUUAUCAUAACUCCUAAUUAGCUUCGCAUGAAGCAUACCAUGGGAAAAGUCCCCGGGUCACAGACAGAAAGUGUCAGGACUUGAUUGGUCCCACUUGCACGCAGUCAGAAGUGAAAAACGAUUCGCUUAGACAGGGUGCAAAAUCGCCAGACGUAAACCUAUAGUGAUGUUGAGAAUCAUUGGGAUUUGUGAAGAGAGGGGUCUUCCUCGCUCUUCCCCAUCUCGCUUACACAAUGGGGCUCACUCAGAGAGAACU
rnacentral:RNase_MRP_RNA from 1 species